rnacentral:rRNA from 1 species
UGGGGAAUUUUGGACAAUGGGCGAAAGCCUGAUCCAGCAAUGCCGCGUGUGUGAAGAAGGCCUUCGGGUUGUAAAGCACUUUUGUCCGGAAAGAAAUCCUUGGCUCUAAUACAGUCGGGGGAUGACGGUACCGGAAGAAUAAGCACCGGCUAACUACGUGCCAGCAGCCGCGGUAACACGUAGGGUGCAAGCGUUAAUCGGAAUUACUGGGCGUAAAGCGUGCGCAGGCGGUUUGCUAAGACCGAUGUGAAAUCCCCGGGCUCAACCUGGGAACUGCAUUGGUGACUGGCAGGCUAGAGUAUGGCAGAGGGGGGUAGAAUUCCACGUGUAGCAGUGAAAUGCGUAGAGAUGUGGAGGAAUACCGAUGGCGAAGGCAGCCCCCUGGGCCAAUACUGACGCUCAUGCACGAAAGCGUGGGGAGCAAACAGGAUUAGAUACCCUGGUAGUCCACGCCCUAAACGAUGUCAACUAGUUGUUGGGGAUUCAUUUCCUUAGUAACGUAGCUAACGCGUGAAGUUGACCGCCUGAGGAGUACGGUCGCAAGAUUAAAACUCAAAUGAAUUGACGGGGUCAUAGCUGUUUCCU